rnacentral:lncRNA from 1 species
AGGCCGCCGCGGCGGCGCCCGCCCGCGCCUCCAUCCGGGUCCUGGCGCGGUGCUCUCCCGGCAGCGACGGGCGCGAGGGCCGGGGCAUUCCCACGGCCGCGACGGCCCUCUCCGCGAGCGCGAGGUGGGUAUGGCGGACGCGGCAGCGAGCGCGGGUCCGUCGCCAUUUUAUUUCGCGGAGACUCGCGGCAGCGGGUGGGCAGAAUGGGAGAGCCGUGCGCCGGCCCGCGCCUGUCCGGCUAACGCGGGCUGGGACUGGUGGGGCGGCCUGCCCCCUCCAGCGGGCGGGUGGCCCCGGGGGGCCGGCGGGCUGCUAGCGGAAGUCGCGGGCGCUCGGGGCACGGGGGAGGGGUGCCGCGUGGCCGCCGCGGGGCCGGCUCCAACCCCCUCCGCUUCCCGCCCAGCUCCUCACCGACAGGGCGGGGGAGGGGGGGUCAUUCUUCACAUUCCUUACCCCGCCCUUCCCCCCGCUUCAAUCAAACUUGGGGCGGGCGGAAGGCCCGCCUUCCGGCCGGCGCCUGUUGGCCGGCGCCGCCUCUGACUGUGGCGUGACUGGUUGUAGGCGCCGCCAGGUGCCUCUGACGUCACUUCCGCUAUCAAGUUUGUGGGCCGGGGAGACCUUGGCCUUGGGGGUUGGGAUGAAGGAGGGAAGGUAGGAAGUGCGAGGGGCGGGGGGACAGGGCGGGAAGGCGCGGGCGGGGAGGGCGGGAGAGUCGUGGCUGGCUGCAUGCCCCUGCUCCCCGCGGCCAAGUGCAGCCUCCCUUCCUGAAGCAGCUGCUGCGGCUGGAGGUCCGCUGCGGCAGCCGUCCUUGGCGAGGGGGAGGGGAACGCGGGAGCGGGAGGAAAUCGUAUCCCGGGGGACGGGGCUUGGAGAUUUGCGACUCGGUGUCACCGGAAACAGCGCUGGCCUUUUGAGUCGACGCUGCAAACUCUUGGAACCGAGUGCCUCUCAGAAGGCUUGCUAAUAAACUUCCCGGGCGGGCUCUAGUGUGAGGAAUGUGGUAACCUGUAUGUCCUUGGCCAGUAAUGCCCUUCGGUCUUUCAACUUUUUACAGUAGAUUCUGUGUCAGAGGUAAUGGUAUGUAUUCUUCAACUUACCGGUUUUUAAAAAAUUGACUAACGAGAGGGCGGGCAGACAGGAAAAAGGCAGGGAAGACAGUGAAUGUUAAAAUUUUGAGGUAAAUCAGGAGACUGGUUGAGUUUUGCUUUUUAACUUCAUUGAUAAUACUGCUUUCUUGGCAUACAGUUCCUAAAGUUAAAGCAUCAUGUGGCAUUCCUUUGCAUUUAUUUCUGUUGGCCUGAAGUAUAAGAACAUUGAAUGUCAAAUUCCAAAUUUAUGUGUAGUUUAGGAAAUAAUUGUUUAUAUCCAGAAUUCUUUUGGUGUUUGGCGGGGUCUGGUUUUAUUUACUGUAUAUUCGGGAAGUAUGUGUAGUUAGGGAAGUAAAAACUUGGAAGUUACUUUGGGUUUUGUGAGAAUGUUUGAUUCAUUAUACAUAUUUGUUAAAAGUUUACUUUGAAACUUCAACUUUGAGAAUAGACAAAUUUCUUGACGUCCUGUAAAUUCAGUGGUAUUAUAUAGCAUUUUAAAAUUUAUCACUUAGGUGCAAUUACAGUGUGAGGGGAAAAGUUAACUUUUUUGAAUAGUUACAUUGCAGUGACAGCAAGAGAGUAUUUUUAUGUGUAGACAGGCUGUGGGUUCCCCUCACUUAAAUUGAAGCUCUGUUGAACUUGAGACACUUAAGAAUCUUGCAAGUGUGAAAAGUGGAGUGAAACAAAACCAUUUCUAAAACGAAAAUGUGUAACUGCGUUCAGUUUUACACAGUGAAGAAAUAAGUAUUAAACAAGUUAGUCUCAAACGUUUAUAUCUUAAGGUCAUUUUAUUCCUGUUAUCAUUAACUAGACAUAUCUUGGUUUAGAGAGCAGCACACAAGACAUUGUGUACUUUUAAUAGCUAAGAUAGUAUAAUAACUACUCAUAUGGGAAUUACCGAGUGUUAAGAGCGCCAAACUAGUGUUUCAAACUGUAGGUCCUGAGUUAUAGGGUCAUGAAGUCACUUUAGUGGGUGGUGAUCCGAAUUUUUUAAAAAGUAGAAAAUAUUCCAUUGAAUACAAAAUAGCGUGUUGAUUCAGCUCGACACAUGUGUAUUCCUGUAAAAUAAUCCUGUGAAGCUGAGUGUCAAAAGUUGAAAAACAACUUCUGUAGGGUGUUUUUCUCGUUUAUAGCAUUGUGUAAAGUAUUAUAGUUUAAUAUUUUUUAACGAGUAUUAAAUGGGCUGUUUAUAUUUGGUGGAACAUGAGCCACCUACUUUAGUUUCACAAGUUGGGAAGUAAAUUUGCCAUCCAGGACCAGUAUGCGUUUUAAUCAUAGUAUUUUUAAUAGCCUGUGAAGCUUUUCUUUAGACCAUAAGAGGUCUUUUCCAUCCCAUAAUAUUUAUUGCCAAUUAUUUAUCCAUGUCUAGAUGAGACUAGAAGAAUCCGAAUCCCCAGUAAUGAGUUGUCAGCAUUGCUUAAUGUGACCUCAGGACUGAUCAUCAUAUGCUUUUUGCCUGUGUAGGUGUUCUAAGCGUUGUAUAAUCACUUAAGAAUGGACUUCAUUAAAUAGACAAAAUAUGAGAGCCAUUACACUAUUUUUGGUAUUAAGUCUUUGAAAUCCAGACUGUUUUACACUUGCAACACAUACACUUGGGGCUAAUCACAUUUCAGGUGCUCAGUAGCAACAUGUGACUAACAGCUACCAAAUGAACAGUGCAGUUCUAGUGCACUGUUUUUAAAAAAAUUAGAUUUUUUUUUAAAAUUAGAUUUCUCUAGCUGAAUAGUUGUAGUUUCAGAUAAACAGCCAAAAAUGUUCUGUCUCUCCACAGCUUCAUCUCAAUUGUGAAGAAAUUGCAUUAGGUGAUUUUUUUUUUUUUUUUUUUUUAAAUAAUAGAAACAACGUCUCACUAUGUUGCCCAGGCUGGUCUCCAACUCCUGAGCUCAAGUGAUCCUUCUUCCUCAGCCUCCCAAAGUGCUAAGAUUACAGGUGUGAGCCACCGGGUUCCUGGCCGAAUCAGGUGAUUUCUUAGGCCCUUUCUAAAUACAAGGUUUAAGUGUUUUGAGGCAGCCGACAGCUAUACCUUUAAGUCUCUUGCUUCUCUAAGAAUAAGACAUUUUGGAUCAUUUGUUCUACCAUAACGUAAUGAAUACAAGUUGGGAGCAUUUUGCUCUUCUGUUAAGCACAGUUGGCCUUCCUGUCCAAGGAUUUUUGCAUCCUUGAAUUCAACUAACCUCAAAUGGAAAAUAUUUGGGGGAAAAAAAGUAUGUACAACAAAAAUAAUAUGAUCAAAAAUAAUACAGUAUAACGACUAUUUACAUAACUUUUACAUUGUAUUAGGUAUUGUAAGUAAUCUAUGUAGGAGGAUGUGUGUAGGUUACAUGCAAAUAUGACACCACAUUUUAUAAGGGACUUGAGCAUCUGAGGAUUUUCCUCUGGGAGAAGGAGGUAUCCUGGAGGCAAUCCCCUGAGGAUACUUUUCUACUUUGUGUGAAUUUUUCAUUAACAGGAAGUUACAGUACUUUUCUGGUCACCUGAGAAACCCACCCCAUAUUUUUAUUAGCCAAAUAUAUAAUUCUCGAAUGCUUAGAAUUCAUUUCUUAAUGAUUUCACUGUUGUGCAGUAUAGACUGUGAAUUGCCUACUAAGGAUACAGUUAAUUAUAGUAAACUGUGGAAUCUAGAUUAAAUAAUUACACCCUACUUUUUUUCUUGGCUUGUGGAUGUGUAGACUACAUAGUGGUUUUUUCAACCCAGGAACAUAACAGUAUAAUGGAGGAUAGGAAGGCAGAAGAUGUUUAAAGGGUUGAGAAAUAAUGGUAUAUGUAUAAUGGUCAGUAAGCAGAACAAGCCAGCCAAGUUGGAUAUUCUUCAAGACUAUCUUAAGUGUCUGCUAUGUGUCUAAGUGAAAGGAAAUAAGCAAUAGUCCUUUUGGGAAACCUGACCUAGUACUUAGCUAUUUCAGACUUAAUGUGAUGUUUGAUAGAGUAGGAAAUAAGAUCUUAAAUUAGAAUUAGGUUAAAUUGCUUUAGAGAAACUUAUUUAUAAAUGUAAAGAAUUUAUUAUCUCAUGUGUUGCACAUGCUCUAUCGAAGGGAGCAAAAUACUAUUGGAGAGUUUGCUUAUUAAUGUAAUACUCAGCCUGCAUCAUUGUCGGAUAAUUUUGUUGAUAAUUCAACUAUUUGAGAUUGAAAGAAAUCUGUUAAAGUAGCCAGUGUUGUAAUUUUGAUCUGUGUUUGAUUACAGCGUAUGAAACAAAAAUGAGACUGGAGGAAAUAGUUUACUUGUGAACUUUUUGAGCUACUUUGUUUUAGGAGUAUUUAAAUUAAUGUAAAAGUGUAGGGAAAUGUCUUAGCUCAGAAAAUUUAAACUUACUAGAUAUUAAGUGCUUAAAAGGUAGAGUAUGCUUGCAUUUCAACUAAAGUUUAGAGUGUUUUAGGAAAUUAGAGGCUAUUUUAAAAAAUAUUUUGAAGUUAGGAGUGUGUUCCUAAGUGUUUUCACCAUAAGAAAAUAAGUCUGUGGGGAUAGUACAUAUGUUAAUUAACUUGAUUUAGCUAUAAUAUAAACCUAUUUUAUGUACACCAUAAAAAUAACAAUUUUUAUGUCAAUUUGAAACAAAUUCAUUACAAAAAUGAAAUUAGGAAUGUGAAUGUUAAUAAGUUAUGAAAACUUACUUGAUGUAAAUGUAGAUAUAGACAAGUCUAUAACUAAUAGAUUUGCCUGCUUUGUAGCAUGCUUUAAAUUGAUAAUAUUUUUAACUAUCACAAGUAUAUCUGGAAAGGUAAAAUUCCUGUUAGGAUAGUUUGUCAAAUUAAUUUAUUAAGUACAGUUGCCAUUUGUUGAGUUAAUUUCUCAGUCAUUCAAUAUCUUUGCAUGUAUCCCAGUCCUGACAGCAACCCCAUGAGGUGUGGCUGUUACAGUUCCCCCAAAUGGCGAUGAGAGAACACAGCCACUAAGUAGCUGCUUGGCUGCUUGACCCUGAAACCAUUGCCCUUAACCAUUUUCCUGUACUGGUAUGCUGAGCUGAAUGAAAUGAAGAUACAUUUUGUGUAAGUUGAAUUUUGACUUUUAGUUGCCAUAAAUUAAUUAAAUAAUUUAUUAUUGUAUAUAUUUUUUUGAGACAGUUUUGCUCUUCUUGCCCAGGCUGGAGUGUAAUGGUGCGAUCUUGGUCUACUGCAACCUCUGCCUCCUGGGUUCAAGCGAUUCUCCUACCUCAGCCUCCUGAGUAGCUGGGAUUACAGGUGCCUACCACCAUGCCUGGCAAAUUUUUGUAUUUUUAGUAGAGAUGGGUUUUCACCAUGUUGGCCAGGCUGGUCCCAAACUCCUGACCUCAGGUGAUCCACUCGCCUGGGCCUCUCAAAGUGCUGGGAUUAUAGGUGUGAGCCACUGUGCCUGGCCAGUUGCCGUAAUAUAUAUAUAUUUUUUUUGAGACCGCAUCUUGCUCUGUUGCCCAGGCUGGAGUGCGGUGGCAUGAUCUCGGCUCCAUGCAACCUCCACCUUCCAGGUUCAAGCGAUUCUUCUGCCUCAGCCUCCCGAGUAGCUAGGACUACAGGCGCAUGCCACCAUGCCUGGCUGAUUUUUUUAUUUUUAGUAGAGAGGGGGUUUCACCAUAUUGGCCAGGCUGGUUUCGAACUCCUGACCUCAUGAUUUGCCCUCCUGGGCCUCCCAAAGUGCUGGGAUUACAGGCAUGAGCCACUGUGCCUGGCCAUUUGCCAUAACUUUUAAUGAGAGGGUAGUUCCAGCUACAGAUUGAGGUAGUAUGUGAAUAAGGAUAGAAAGUGGAUAUAAAAGUAUUUUUGUUACUUUUUAAGAAAGAAUUAUCAGAAGGCUCAAAUUCUGAUAAUUUUAGCUAAUAGUAUUCUACCUAAGAAGUAAACAAAGGCCCAGAAAUUAGAUGAUAUGUCCAAGGACAUAGUAAAUGGGGAGCCAGCAUUAACUGUAGACAGAAAAACUUCAAGUCCUAAAUGUAUACUAGCUAUCAACCCACUCUUUCCCAGUACGCAAGCAUUACAUAGUUGUGAUUAGUUAGUUAGGGCUUUUAAUUAACUUCCAAAUGAAUAUUUCCAUGGGUUCUUGUAAUCCAUAAAUUCAUGGAUUAUGUUCAGUGUUUAUGAGAGCUGGCCCUAACUGAACAUUGCUCGGCUGUUUGGUUUUAGUUUCCACCAUUUGCUGUAAUCAGUGUUUUCUAAACUGCAGGCUGGGAACCAUUAGAUUAUAAAAUCAGUUCAUGUAUAUAAUAAAAUAACAUAUUAGAGUAAGUAUUGAUUUGUGAACAAUAUUAUUUAUUGGAUUACUUAUAUACAUAUACUUUUCAAAAAAUUGAGGGUCAUGUUAAUAGCACUUGGUAUGUAAAUUACCAGAAUGCUUUCUAGCAAUAUGGUAUUUAUUUACAUAGCUGGAUUGAGAAAGAAUAAUACAAAGUAAGCAUGUGACACCAAGGUUGGAAAAAAAAUGUGUUUUUGAAUGUUUGAUGAGGAUUCAAACAUGUUUUAAAUGAGAAAAUCGGUAGGAGGUUGAGGAUUGUAGUAGAAGUACCAGAUGCUUUUUCUUUUAGCUGUUUUUUUUCGUUGCUGUUGUUUGGUUGGUUUUGGUUUUGGUUUUUUUUUUUUUUUUUUUGGCUGUUAUUGUUUUAAAAGUAAGGACUAGGCCGGGUGCAGUGGCUCACGCCUGUAAUCCCAGCACUUUGAGAGGCGAAGGCAGGCAGGCAGGCAGAUCACCUGAGGUCAGGAGUUCGAGACCAGCCUGGCCAACAUGGUGAAACCCCGUCUUUACUAAAAAUACAAAAAUGAGCUGGGCGUGAUGGUGGAUGCCUAUAAUCCCAGCUACUUGGGGGGCUGAGGCAGGAAAAUCGCUUGAACCCAGGAGGCGGAGGUUUCAGGAGCCAAGAUCACACGGUUGCACUCCAGCCUGGGUGACAGAGCAAGACCUCGUCUCUAAAAAAAUAAAAGUAAGGACAGUGCUGAUUCAUGGGAAAUAUUUUGGCUUAUAAAGGGCCUGACGUUAGGGACAAGUGUGUCUGUGAGUUCCUAGUUUGCAUAACCUGGCCUUGUAGAAUUGAAAUGGUCUCAAAUGUAGUAUAGUUUAGUGAUGCAGUACUGUCUCUAAUUUGGGGCAAGUUAUUAAGCUUCUUACCACCAGUUUUCAUCUAGAGAUGAUGAAGUAGUUGGACCUUACAUAUUUUGGAUAUAUGGUAUUAAUAAAUCUUUCCCUUUUUGUUACAGACGUGUUGAUACUGCAGCUAGGAAAGCUGAGGGACUUCGGCUAAAUUUCUUUUGCAAGAUUUCAAUGGCAGAGAAUUAGUAGGGCCAGGAUUUGAACCCUGGUUUUUAUUGACUCCAAAUGAGUAAUGCUGUGAACAUUCAAAUACACGUUUUUUCAAUUCUCUUGCCCUUUUUUUUUGCGGGGAGGGGCAGGGUCUCACUCUCUUGCUCUGACUGGAGUGCAGUGGUGUGGUCAUAGCUUACUGCAACCUUUAACUCCUAGGCUCAAGCAAUCUUCCUGCCUCAACCUCCUGAGUAACUCAGCUGGGACCAUAAGCCUGCACCACCACACCCAGCCAUGUUCAGUUCUCUAGAGUAUAUACCUAGAAAUGGAAUUGCUGGGUCAUAUGGUGAACUGUUUUUUACUCAUCACUAACCAGUUCUGACACCAACAAUCAAUUCUUCAACUCGACACCAACAGAGUGUCCUACAAUUAAAUUUAAUUCUGAAACUACCUGAAGUUAGUACAAACUUCACAGGUUGAGGGCUCAAACACGUAAGACUGCCCCCGCUUCAGAUGCAGGUUUCUACCUGAAUUUUUAACCAACCAGCUAUAAAUUAGGGGGUUUCACAACCUCUUCCACUGGGUCUAUAAUUUGCUAGGAUGGCUUACAGAACACAGGAAGACACUCAUUAUCACUGGUUUAUUAUAAAGGAUUUAAAUGAAUAGCCAGAUGAAGAGGUCCUUAAGCUGAAGUCCAGGAGGGUUCCUAGCACAGGAGCUUCUGUAUCUAUGGAGUUAGGGUUACACCAGCCUCCUGGCAUGAAGAUGUGUUUUUCAACUCAGAGCUGUCCAAACCCUGACACUUAAGGGGUUUUUAUGGAGGUUUCAUACUUAGGCAUGAUUGAUUACAUUAUUGGCCUUUGAUGAUUGGCUUACUCUCUGUCCUCUCUGCUUUACCUGGAGGUUGAGGGGGUGAGGCUGAAAGUUCCACCCCUCUAAUCACACCUUGGUCUUUCUGGUGACUAUCCCCCUCCUGAAACUACAGGAGCCACCAAUCGACUCAGUAGCAUUAAACAGACAUUCAUCACUUAGGAAAUUCUGAGGGUUUUAGGAGCUGUAUGCCAGCCAGGAUCUUCAAAUGGAGACAAAGACGAAAUACGUGUUUCUGAUUCCACUUAACAACUGUUUGACUUGUCUACAAGUUUUGUUCUCCAAAGCAGCUGCACCAUUUCACAUUCCCACCAGCAAUCUAAGGGUUCCAAUUUUCUCCGCAUCCUUGUCAACACUUUUAUUAAUCUUAUUAGCCAUCCUAAUGAAUAAUGUAUCUUUUCAUGUGCCUGUUGGCCAUUUGUGCUUAUGAGUCAUAUCUUUGGUGAAAUAUCUAUUAAAAUAUUUUACCAUUAAAUUAGGUUGUUUUAAGUUACUUUAAUGUGUGUUUUGCACACCAGUUUACAAAGAAUGCAGAUCCAUUUUUUUUGCAUGUGGCUAUACAGCCGUCAGCAUUAUUUGUUGAAAAAACGAUUCCCAGUUGAAUUGUCUUGUCAUGGUUGAAAAUCAGUUGACCCAUGUAUGGGUUUAUUUCUAGACUUUAAAUUCUAUUAUAUUGAGCCGUAUGUUUUUUAUUACGUUUUGUAAUUUUAAAAAUUAGUGCUUUUGGUUACUAAAUCACUACAAAAUAAAUUUAGUCCCUAUCUUAAAAGAUAAUCUUCGUAGUAGCUACCUCCUAAAUAUGAAGUCUGUAAAUUAAAGGGUAAUAAUACAGUUUAGAUUACUUGGGUUUAUUAAAGAUUUUGGACUCUGCCUUCAAUCCACAUAUUACCUUUCUAUCUAAAGGAAAGGAUCCUGACCCUGAAUCAGAUCCAGGUGAUUAUCUUUGAUUUAGUCCUAAUAAGACCACUUAGUGUUUGCUCGCAUGGGAUAAAUGAGUAGGUUCCUUUAAAAAUUAGUUUCUAUUUGUGUGUGUUUUUUAUAUUAUCUCGUUGUAUGUUAGUGCAUUUGGAUUAUGCAUGAUGUACAGGACUUUUGGGUUUUGAAGUCAUUGGAUUUUUAAUUAGAGGCUGUCAUGUUUUUCUGUAAUGAUUUUUUGUUGUUUCUUGAAGGAUAAGUUAUUUCAUGCAUUUUCAUUUGUAGGAACUGUAAGAAAACCAGCAGUUAAUAAUAGUAAAAGGUGGUGGUAAGAGGGUGAUUUCUGAAUCUUGUAAAUACAUGGUUUUAGGAGCGGAUUCAGAUAACCAAGCAUUUAAAAUACUAUUAAUGAAAUACAGGAAAUGAAACCACAGCAUAGAUUAUGCAUGUAGCCAAAAUGUUCAGUUAAACUUCAUUUUCAACGUAAGUGAAUGAAAAUGGUCUAAUACUAUUUUUCUUAUCACUCACACAGGAAACCAGGAUUACCGAGGAGGAAAAAAAGCCUUCCUGUGGUGCUCAACUGUGAUUCCUUUUCACCAUUCACCCUGGAUGUUCUCUUCACUGUGGGAUGAGGUAGUAGGUUGUAUAGUUUUAGGGUCACACCCACCACUGGGAGAUAACUAUACAAUCUACUGUCUUUCCUAACGUGAUAGAAAAGUCUGCAUCCAGGCGGUCUGAUAGAAAGUCAGUUAACUAAUUGUACAAUAUUUAAGAUUAACUUGUCUUAAAGAGAUGUAGUGCAGCAUUUGUUUAUGGCCUGGAAAUAAAUUAAUUUAGAGAUAAAGUCUGUAGCAAGUACACUGGAUGGGGGUGGGGAAACCUUUUGCUUCUUGUCUUAUUUCUCUGUGUCAGAAUAAAUGUAUUUUUUUAUUUUGAUUUAUGCUGAUAAUUUUAUGUUGAAAUUUUCUUUCGAAAGAGAUUGUACUUUCCAUUCCAGAAGAAAACAUUGCUCUAUCAGAGUGAGGUAGUAGAUUGUAUAGUUGUGGGGUAGUGAUUUUACCCUGUUCAGGAGAUAACUAUACAAUCUAUUGCCUUCCCUGAGGAGUAGACUUGCUGCAUUAUUUUCUUUUUAUUUAGAUGAUAUUAAAACUCAGAAGAAUUAAUUUUGACAUUUUGUAUUUACAGUUUAUCAGUUAAUUUUCUCUGUUCAAGUAGUACAGUAGGCACAGAUUAACAUUUAAAUUUUUCACAUAUGGUAUAUUUCAGAAAUUUGAAGUUAAGCAAAAAUUUUAAUGAGUAGAGAAAGUAAGUAGCCUUCAGGAAAUCUUCAUAGAGGACCAGGCCCUUUUGGAAUUGUGAAUAGGUUUAUUGCCUUACAUCCUGGUACACAUGUCCAAGGUCAGGUCCUGGGUGGUAAAGGUAAAUACAAAUUGGAAGGGCACUGUGUGAGCCAAAAUGAGUCAGAUUAGUCAUGAUUCAUUUCCAGUUUGGGUUUUGGGUGGUCUUGGAGAAUGUUGUAAGCACUGCUUCAUUGAUAGGUUGAUUGAGCCAGACUUUACUCAGCAGCCUGGAAAAGGAGAGAUGGGCUCUGGGUUCUACCUUUGCUCACUGGUAAGUUGCUAAGAUUUCAGCUUUGCCCUCAAACCCUGAAGUAGUCCUUCAUUCACACAGUGGGAUCACUCGAAAAUGUCAGAUGGGGAAGUCCAUAGGUUGUUACUUUAAAGAAAAUAGAAAAAAUGCUGGAAAAGGUUUCUUCAAUUUUAAUACCCAUGAAGGCCCAUGUUUUAGCUUUCCUCCGAUGGGCAAACCAUACACUAACUUGGGCCUUGUAAUCAACAAGCAAGGCUAAAAGCUCUCUAAGUGCUUGCUGUUUAAACUAUUUUGUGUUGGAAGAAGAGUUGGAAAAGAGGCAGUGUGGAGGUGAGGGAGAAGUUCCCUCCCUCCAAUCAUUUCCAAUAAAUGGAAAUUUAAGGAGAAAUUUGUGUUUAUCCUUAAUAUCUAAGAUAAUCACUGUGCAGUGCCAUUGGUACUUUUCAUGAGAGUAGAAACAUCAAACUUCCUUGGAUGGGCCCAACCCAGGUGACUUAACUCUGGACCAAAUGUAUGCUUUUUGUUUUAUCCACUGUGGACAGCUGCAUAGAUAAUUGGUCUUUGUUCUAAACUGCACAUAAAAACAUGGGAGAAAAUGACAUUUGUUGCCUUUUGAUGUGCCAAAGAAGAGUGGGAAUGUUCUAAGAAUUCUUUUUGGCUUAAUCUUUGUUGAAUUGAAAAUAUGUAUAACUCUUCUGCUGAAAGUGUAGCAAGUACAGUCAUGAAAUUUUGUGGUCUUCCUGACAUGUUCUUCCAGCAUAACGUUGCCACCUUCAGUUGGAAACGUAUCCUUAUCUAAUAAUUAAGCCCUGGAGAAAAAUUAAUUUAUAUAUUUUAUUAAUUACAUAAGGACAUUGUUAUUAGCUAAGCAGAGUAAGUAAAUCGAAAUAAAACUUUAAAAAUGCCUUUAUGGAGAGAAUGACUAUCUCUGAAAGCUUGUUUUUAAUGAUGAUAAAAUUCAUGAUCAGAAUUUGUUUCUGUUUGCUUUAAUUCAGGGGUCAAAAACUGAAAUACCAUCAGAGGCCCAGGAGGGGCUAGUUGUAACUGGCAAAUAUAGUAAAUUAAUUUGCUCUGGUUGAUAGGUAGCAAGCAGGGUUUAUAUACAUUGUCACCUACUUUUCCAGUUAACAGGAGAGACUGGAGAUUUUAUGAAAUUUGAUAUUUAAAUGUUGGUAACUGGGUUGGGCACCAUGGCUCACACCUCUAAUCCCAGCACUUCGGGAGGCUGAGGCGGGUGGAGCACCUGAGGUCAGGAGUUAAAGACCAUCCUGACCAGCCUGGUGAAACACAGUCUCUAAUAAAGAUACAAAAAUUAGGCCGGGUGUGGUGGCUCAUGCCGGUAAUCCCAGCACUUUGGGGAGGCCAAGGUGGGCGGAUCACCUGAGUCAGGAGUUUGAGACCAGCCUGCCUAAAUGGUGAAAACCUGUUUCUACUAAAAAUACAAAAAAGUAGCUGGGCGUGGUGGUGGGCGCCUGUAAUCCCAGCUACUCUGGGGGCUGAGGCAGGAGAAUCACUUAAACCCAGGAGGCAGAGGUUGCAGUGAGCCGAGAUCACACCACUGUACUCCAGCCUGGGUGACAGAGCGAGACUGUCCAAAAAAAAAAUUGAUAAUUAAAUGUUAAAAGUCAGCGACUCCAGUAAUACGUGGUGGGCUGAGUAUUAGACUACUGGCUUACAUCCUCUGAUGUCAUUACUUUCUUGUUCGUUUGUGACUUGAGGUUGGAUUUUAAGCAAAUGUAUUUGUGGCUUUUUACCAAGGUCAUAUGGCCAGAUAACUUUUCAAAAGCAUUAGUUAAAGAAUUCUGAUUAGUUUGAAUUAGAAACAAAACUCAAAGAACAUGACCUAAUUUAACAGGUUAAUUUGAAGUGCAUCUGCCAAGUAGAAGACCAGCAAGAAAAAAAAAAUGGGUUCCUAGGAAGAGGUAGUAGGUUGCAUAGUUUUAGGGCAGGGAUUUUGCCCACAAGGAGGUAACUAUACGACCUGCUGCCUUUCUUAGGGCCUUAUUAUUCACCGAUAACCUGUUUCCUUGCUACUUUGCUUUGGUGUAAGCAGAGUUCUUUCUGUAGGUUUUUUCAAAUGAAAACAUUGCAAGAAUAUCAAAGAGAGCAGUGUUUGCGUUAGUGAUUAUAAACUGCAGCAUGGUGCUGACAUUGAUAACUGAAAGUCAACUAAUGAGAAUUUGAGACUUCUGAAGUACACUUAGUUGCUAGUGUCUCCCUUUUGGUGUCACUGGAAAGUUUAGAAAGCAUGGUUUUGUUUUUGCUCAGGUUUCUCUUUCUGUGAUGCAGAGACUCUCAGCUGUUCCUCCUCUAUGUCUACAUUAUGUCUGAAGGAAAGAAUUUAACAAAACUUGAAAUACUGCUGUUUUUCUACAAUGUUUGUAAAUAUUUAUCUUGCUGCUUUUCUAGGUUUGUCUUCUGGAUUUAAAAUUUGGGGCGGCUGGGGUGGAAUUGCAUGGUUUGGGAAUGGGUAAUUGAGCUGCUGCUCAUUAUGGUAUGUAACAGUGAUUUGUCUGUUUAAUAUGUACAAGAACUGGAAGGUCAAUAAAAUGAAAGUGGUUGUCUUGACUGGGUAAUAGUGUUACAUAUUUUGUUAAAAGUUAUACAUCUUUUCAAUAAAAACACUGCAUACUUCAAAACUAGUGCUUUUUAAGUCAUCCUUAACCCUUAUCCCCAUCCUUGCAGUAGUAGAUGCAUUUUUCAUUUGUAAUUAUUAUGAUUUGUUCUUAGUUUCAUUUUUCAUUAGCAAUAAUUUGGUGAUUGGAUGGUCAUUUACAGAUGUUUUAAUAAAGCUAACACGAGCAAUUUCCAGCUCUUCCAUUUUUGUAAACACUUGUGUGACUUUGUACAGACAAUUAACUGCUCAGGAUCACCCUCCUUUUUGUUUUGUUUUUGAGAUGGUCUCAUUCCGUCACCCAUGCUGGAGUGUAGUGAAAUGAUCACAGCUCACUGCAGCCUUGACCUCCCGGACUCAAGCUUCCUAGUAACUGGGACUACAGGUGCAUACAACCAUGCCUGGCUAAUUUUAUUUUUGUAGAGACGGUUUCACCAUAUUGCCCAGACUGGUCUUGAACUCCUGAUUAUCCUCUGGCUUUUACCUCCCAAAGUGCUGGCCAGGACAGCCUCCUUUCUUUACUUGAGUAAUUAUUUGAGUUUGCUCAGGCAGACACUACCUUGUAAAAACUCUUAUGUCUCAUUUCACUAGUCUAGUUUGAGCAUUUAUCAUUCUAGGAAUGAGACGAAUUUGUGCAUUAGCAUUCCAUCUUUUUCCAACUACUAUGAACAGUAGUAUUUUUUUUUAUUUUAUUUUAUUUUUUGAGACAAAAUCUCACUGUUUCCCAGGCUAGAGUGCAGUGGUGUGAUCUCAGCUCACUGCUGCAACCUCCACCUCCUGGGUAGAGUAGACAGGAUUUAGGUAAUUUUUUGUAUUUUUAUUAGAGACAGGGUUUCACUAUGUUGGCCAGGCUGGUCUUGAACUCCUGGCCUCAAGUGAUCCACCGGCCGUGGCCUUCCAGAGUGCUGGGAUUACAGGUGUGAACCACCCUUGCCUGAUCAUGAGCAGUAAUACAUUUAAAAGUCUCCAGGGGUGAGAAAGUUGAAAGGAAAUUCAGUGGAGUUUCCCAUCCUGCCCCUCUGCUGCCUAGCCCCUUGCUCCAGUGGAAGGAAGAAUCGUGAUCUAGGGAUGUUCUCAUACUUGGGGCUUUAAAUUUCCUUUAUGAAUUGAGAUGGUUGGGUAUGUUUUCUAAGGUACCUUACAUGGUACAGUUCUUUAAAGUUGAAGAUUUAAGUUGUGGCAAAAUUGCAUCAAUUUCAUGUGCACUGAUUUAGGCGAAGAUGCGUAGGAAAAGAGCAAGGAAAUGAGGUGUGAUAGGAUUGGGGUAAUUUCAAAAUGAGUAUUUCUGCCUGGCCUAGUGGUUCACGCCUGUAAUCACAGCACUUUGGGAGGCCAAGGCAGGCAGAUCCCCUGAGGUCAAGAGUUCGAGACCAGCCUGGCCAACAUGAUGAAACCCCAUCUUACUAAAAAAAAGUAGCUGGCAUGGUGGUGGGCUACUUGUGAGGCUGAUGUAAGGAGAACCGCUUGAACCAGGGAGGUGGAGGUUGCAGUGACCAGAGAUUACGCUAUUGCACUCCAGCUUGGACGACAGAGCAAGACUGUCUUAAAAAUGUUUCUAGUUUCACUUAUUCUAAAUUUAUGUCUAACCAUUUUUAGUGAAGUAUUUGAGUCACAUCAGCUAGCCUUUUUCCUACAGCGUUGAAGUAAUUUUCUA